rnacentral:rRNA from 1 species
GAUGAAUGCUGGCGGCGUGCCUAACACAUGCAAGUCGAGCGGCAGCGAGUUUUACACUGAAUUCUGGAAGCUUCUGAGUAGUACAGAAGAUUUAUUCAAGAGUUUUGUGUAAAAUGUCGGCGAGCGGCGGACGGCUGAGUAACGCGUAGGAAUUUGCCCCAAAGUGAGGAAUAACUGCCCGAAAGGGUAGCUAAUGCCGCAUAUGGUCUUCGGAUUAAAGCCUUCGGGCGCUUUGGGAGAAGCCUGCGUUGGAUUAGGUAGUUGGUAGGGUAAUGGCCUACCAAGCCGACGAUCCAUAGCUGGUCUGAGAGGAUGAUCAGCCAGACUGGAACUGAGACACGGUCCAGACUCCUGCGGGAGGCAGCAGUGAGGAAUCUUCCACAAUGGGCGAAAGCCUGAUGGAGCAACGCCGCGUGAAGGAUGAAGGCCUUCGGGUUGUAAACUUCUUUUAUGGGUGAAGAAUAUGACGGUAACUCAUGAAUAAGCACCGGCUAACUACGU